rnacentral:rRNA from 1 species
GAGGUGACUUGUCUGGUUUAUUCCGACAACGAACGCAACCACAUUGCUCUACUAUCCGGCGAGCCCCUAACGGGGUCCGCAAGAAACUGGAGCAGACCAAUCGCACGAUGGGCUCAGCCCAAGGCGAAGGAAGCUUAGGCGAUGGCAGGUCUGUGAUGCCCCUAGAUGCCCUGGAUCGCACGCGCAAUACAAUGGCGACUCAAACGCGCAGGUUCGUCCGAGAGUACUUACAAAUCGCACAAAAAGUCGCCUCAGUCGGGAUCGGGGGUUGCAACUGUCCCCCGUGAACGAGGAACACCUCGUAGCGGCGUGUCAUAAACGCGCCACGAAUCAGUCCCUGUCCUUUGUACAC